UACGUAGGGUGCAAGCGUUGUCCGGAAUUAUUGGGCGUAAAGAGCUCGUAGGCGGUCUGUCGCGUCGGCUGUGAAAUCCCGAGGCUCAACCUCGGGUCUGCAGUCGAUACGGGCAAACUAGAGUAUUGCAGGGGAGACUGGAAUUCCUGGUGUAGCGGUGAAAUGCGCAGAUAUCAGGAGGAACACCGGUGGCGAAGGCGGGUCUCUGGGCAAUAACUGACGCUGAGGAGCGAAGGCGUGGGGAGCGAACGGG
rnacentral:rRNA from 1 species